CCACAAGGGGUGAAGCCUGCGGUUCAAUUGGAGUCAACGCCAGGAAACUUACCAGGAGAGACAGCAGAUUGAGGGUCAGGCUGAAGACCUUACCUGACGAGCUGAGAGGAGGUGCAUGGCCGUCGCCAGCUCGUGCCGUGAGGCGUCCUGUUAAGUCAGGCAACGAGCGAGACCCCUAUCCGUAAUUGCUAACUGCUCAGAGAUGGGUAGAGGCUAGUUACAGAGACUGCCGCUGCUAAAGCGGAGGAAGGAAGGGGCCACGGCAGGUCAGUAUGCCCCGGAACUCCUGGGCCACACGCGGGCUGCAAUGGUAGGGACAAUAGGUUCCGACCUCGAAAGAGGAAGGCAAUCCCGAAACCCUACCCCAGUUGUGAUCGAGGAUUGAAACCCGUCCUCGUGAAUAUGGAAUCCCUAGUAACCGCGUGUCAUCACCGCGCGGUGAAUACGUCCCUGCUCCUUGU
rnacentral:rRNA from 1 species